rnacentral:rRNA from 1 species
CCAAUAGCGUAUAUUAAAGUUGUUGCAGUUAAAAAGCUCGUAGUUGAAUUUCGGGAUCAGUUGGUCGGUCGUGCCUCGGUACGUACUGGUCAAAUUGAUUCCUACCUUCUGACGAACCACGAUGUCAUUAAUUUGGUGUCGUGGGGAAUCAGGACUGUUACUUUGAAAAAAUUAGAGUGUUUAAAGCAGGCUCGCGCUUGAAUACAUUAGCAUGGAAUAA